rnacentral:tRNA from 1 species
GUCAGUGUGUCCGAGUGGUUAAGGAGUUAGACUUGAAAUCUAAUGGGCUCUGCCCGCACAGGUUCGAACCCUGUCGCUGACG